UGCCCGAGUGGUUAAAGGGGGCGGACUGUAAAUCCGUUGAUUUUUGUCUACGUUGGUUCGAAUCCA
rnacentral:tRNA from 1 species